UACGUAGGUGGCAAGCGUUGUCCGGAUUUAUUGGGUUUAAAGGGUGCGUAGGCGGCCCUGUAAGUCAGUGGUGAAAUACUCUAGCUUAACUAGAGGGGUGCCAAUGAUACUGCAGGGCUUGAGUACAGAUGAGGUAGGCGGAAUUGACGGUGUAGCGGUGAAAUGCAUAGAUAUCGUCAAGAACACCGAUAGCGAGGGCAGCUUACUGGGCUGUAACUGACGCUGAUGCACGAAAGUGUGGGGAUCAAACAGG
rnacentral:rRNA from 1 species